AUUGAACGCUGGCGGCAGGCUUAACACAUGCAAGUCGAGCGGAGCGAGGGUGCUUGCACCUUAGCUUAGCGGCGGACGGGUGAGUAAUGCUUAGGAAUCUGCCUAUUAGUGGGGGACAACAUUCCGAAAGGGAUGCUAAUACCGCAUACGCCCUACGGGGGAAAGCAGGGGAUCUUCGGACCUUGCGCUAAUAGAUGAGCCUAAGUCGGAUUAGCUAGUUGGUGGGGUAAAGGCCUACCAAGGCGACGAUCUGUAGCGGGUCUGAGAGGAUGAUCCGCCACACUGGGACUGAGACACGGCCCAGACUCCUACGGGAGGCAGCAGUGGGGAAUAUUGGACAAUGGGGGGAACCCUGAUCCAGCCAUGCCGCGUGUGUGAAGAAGGCCUUUUGGUUGUAAAGC
rnacentral:rRNA from 1 species